GCGUGCAGAUCGGCGUGCUUACACAUGCAGUCGAGCGGGGCAGGUUGCUUGCUGCCUGGCCUAGCGGCGGACGGGUGAGUGAUGCUUAGGAAUCUGCCUAUUAGUGGGGGACAACAUUCCGAAAGGGAUGCUAAUACCGCAUACGCCCUACGGGGGAAAGCAGGGGAUCUUCGGACCUUGCGCUAAUAGAUGAGCCUAAGUCGGAUUAGCUAGGUGGUGGGGUAAAGGCCUACCAAGGCGACGAUCUGUAGCGGGUCUGAGAGGAUGAUCCGCCACACUGGGACUGAGACACGGCCCAGACUCCUACGGGAGGCAGCAGUGGGGAAUAUUGGACAAUGGGCGGAAGCCUGAUCCAGCCAUGCCGCGUGUGUGAAGAAGGCCUUUUGGUUGUAAAGCACUUUAAGCGAGGAGGAGGCUCCUUUAGUUAAUACCUAAAGAGAGUGGACGUUACUCGCAGAAUAAGCACCGGCUAACUCUGUGCCAGCAGCCGCGGUAAUACAGAGGGUGCGAGCGUUAAUCGGAUUUACUGGGCGUAAAGCGUGCGUAGGCGGCUUUUUUAAGUCGGAUGUGAAAUCCCUGAGCUUAACUUGGGAAUUGCAUUCGAUACUGGGAAGCUAGAGUAUGGGAGAGGAUGGUAUAAUUCCAGGUGUAGCGGUGAAAUGCGUAGAGAUCUGGAGGAAUACCGAUGGCGAAGGGCAGCCAUCUGGCCUAAUACUGACUCUGAGGUGCGAAAGCAUGGGGAGCAAACAGGAAUUAGAUAGCCU
rnacentral:rRNA from 1 species